rnacentral:lncRNA from 1 species
CACUAUUGAGAGAAAAGAGGCAAAGUUGGGAGAUGAGAGAAAAUAGAAAGUAAGAAGAAGAAAGAAGAAUAUUCAAGAGAAAGAGAGAUGGAAAAGCUUAAGAGUGAGAUUAGAGUGAAGAUUUAAGUUGCUUUUGAAGGGUUAAGGUAAGAGGAAAGUUUAUAUUCACCGUUUAGAGAUUAUGAGUGAUAGAGUGUUUAUGAGUCAUGUUUGUUUAUAUGAUUCUCAUGAAUUUAGUGUUUUGUUAAGUUGAUUUUCAUGCUAUUUAAUUAUGCUAAUUAUGAGUAUGAUGAACUUUAUGAAAUUAUGUUAUUUAUAUGCUUAAACUUAUGCUUGAUGGUAUAAAAUAAGUUGUUCUUGAGAUUUCAGCUUAAAUGUGUGAAAAUCAAGAUGUUGUUGAUGAUUCUUUCUCAAAUUAUGUUCUAAUUGCUAGCUAUGUUGAUGGAAUGAUCAUGUUAAAUUUGAUGUUUGAAUUAAGUUGUGGUUUGUUGGUGAAUUUUGUGAGAAAUGAGUGACAAACCAUGAAAUGAUGUUUUGACGAAUUGAGUUUUGGGAUUAUGAGUUUUGGGUGUGGAAUUGAAUUUGGGGAAAAACGGGUUUUUAAGCUAAAAGUCAAUAUUUAGUGAUUCUAUGAAAUAAGCUAUUUUUGGGCUAAGUUAAUGGAAAUGUUUUGAUUAAGAAAUGAGGCUGAAUAGUAGGGGUUAAAUAGGCUAAGUGAUUGGGAUUGUUUCUGGUGCGAUCAGGAUCGAAAACAGUUUUGAAAACAGACUCUCGUGUGCAAAAACAUAAAAAUUCAAGAACCCUGUCUUGUCAAGGCAGCACGACCAUGCGGCCUAGGAGCACGUAUUGUGUGUAUUGUUCGCACUUGGUCAGUACAACCGUACGGCCAAUUUGCACGACCGUGCGCCCUGUACUAUGUCGGGAAACCUCAUUUUUUUUUUGUCGUUUUUAAAUUUUAAGCAUAUCAUUUGGUCCCAAACACCUAAUCUUAGUUAAUUGAUGUAUAAUUGAGUACUUAAACUUAAUUUAACUUGAUUUGGAUUGGAAUUGAAUUGUAUGGUGCAGACUUUUGAAAAUAGACGAACUUUGACAUUUUAAGAAAUAGAUAAACUUUGAAACUUAAUGAAUCACACUAAGAUAACUUGAGGAUGAUUAUGUGCUAUUGUUGUGAAGAUGAAUGGGGAUUGGUUUGAUUAUGAUAUGUAUUCUUGAAAUGUGGAUUAACUAGAAUGAAUUCUUAAUCGUCUUUAAAUGCCAAUUAUGCUAAAUGAAUGUUUGUUGUUUCUUGAGAUGAUAAAUGUUUGAUGACGAUUGCGGUGAAAUUAUUUAUUGAUGAUAAUUAACUCAUGAUGGUGUGAAUGUGUAUAUAUGUAUAAAUGAGGAUGAAUACAUGUAUAUAAAGUGGUGAAGUUAUGAUGGUGAUGUUUUGUAUGAACAUAUGUAUUUGGUGAGUUAUAUGUUCAUGCAUUCAUGGAUCUUGGAGUACGAUAUUUCAAUAUCCAAGUGGAGAUUAGGAUAAUUGUAUCCAAGUGGUGAUUUAGGAUAUUUCAAUAUCCAAGUGGAGAUAGGAUUAAUCGGUAAAAUAAUUCCGACAUCCAAAAACGGUACCGUAUGAAUAUAGAAUUGUGUCUAGAGCAUUGCAUGCAUAUGAAUCUAUGUGAAAUGAUUUAUACUUGUUGAAUCUAUGUGAAUUUUCUUCUACAUCAACAUGUAUAUUGUAUAGUUCAUUCCCAUCAAAGUAUUAUUUGUAGUUUUAUUAUUGUUUUGAUUUGGCUAUUAUGUUCAAUUUCUUUUUUCCCAGUCCAACGAAAUUACUUUGAUUUUGUCCUGAUGAAGAAUUAGAAUUAUGAAGAUGAACAAAAACACACCAACCAAGAAACGUGAAUUGAGAGAGAAGAUGACAGCAACAAAAACAAUUAAGGAAAAGAACCAGCGGGCCCCAAUAAGAAGCUGAGAAAGUAGAAAAUUUAAAAAUAAAAAUAAUCAUUUAAAGGUCAAUUACGUCAUUGUCCCUUACUAUUGUCUUUUCCAAAAAAUAAAAAAUAGGUUUUUUAGUCUAAAACAAAAGGUGCACCUACCUUGCUAAAAUAGACCUUCAUGAAAAUAAGUUGGUCUAUUGUAGCAAACCCCAUAUAUAUAUAGGAUUCCGACGAAGAUGAAGAAGUAGGUACAGAUAGGUGGCGAAUGGGUACAGAUGCUGGAAAAAUGAUGAACAGUCAAAACAACAGGUUGAUUCGAUGAUUCAUUCAUUCAAGAGUCAUGUUAAUUGUUGAUUCAAAGAAAGAAAGAAAAAAAGAAAAAAAAAGAGGCAUGUUAAUUGCUGGAUAUGCCAUGGCUGAUGAAUAUUAGGCGAGGAAGAAAGAGGAAGAAAGAUUUCAACGAAAUCAUAGAGUAGAGAGAGGCAUGUGUUGUUAAAUGAGGCUUUUUAAUCUCAGUCAAUUAAUUUUAAUCUAAAGGCUCACAAUCAUUCCUACCAUUCUCGUAUAUAAAUGUCAUUCUCAUGUGAUAUGCCCCCUAUAUAUAUAUAUAUAUAUAUAUAUAUAUAUAUAUAGAGAGAGAGAGAGAGAGAGAAUGAAUUUUUGAAUGAGUAUAGAAAUAUUUUGUGUCCAAAUAUAAUUGUUGGACAAAAGAAAAAUCAAUAUUUAGUCGAAAGUAGACGUUGGUCUGCCCUUAUCUCCCAUGAUAAUUAGUUGGGAAGCGAUUCCAUGUGGUGACUUUACCUCCUCUGAUGAUUUAAACCAUUAAAUGCAUUCUCUCCCUCUCAACAUUAAAUGCUUUUUUCUCUUUUAUCUUGAAGAUUUCACUAGAUCUCUCCAUUAUCCGAAGAGGAUAUGUUCCGUGAUUAACUACCUCUCCCGAUGCUUUUUCCUCUUUUAUUUUGAAGAUUUCACUAGAUCUCUCCAUUAUCCAAAGAGGAUAUGUUCUAUGAUUAACUGCCUCUCCCCAAAUUCUCAUUUGUGAAACCUUGUUAAUUGGUACUAGUAAGGUGUGGUGGGAUUACAUAAGAGAUCCUAGGCAUUGAUGGAAAUUGUUGGAAAAAUAUAUAGUGUGUGAGCUAAUGGUAGAGUAGUUAGAGACAUUGGACAAGAGGACACACAUUAGUAGUUACUACAUUGUAUGAGAAGAGAACAUGAUUUGGUGAAGCCUUUUUAAUAUUAUUGACAUUGCAUCUUAAACGUUUGAAUACAAUUGCACCCAUAUACCUAUACUUAUAGGUGCUUGAAGGUGUUUCUAGAACUAGAUUCUAGGCCUUUGUUUGCCAUUUCUACAUUAGAUUAUUAUAGAUGUUUCUAAGCUAUAACUUAAUUUAUACAUUAAUAAAAUAAUCUAGAAACAUGUAGCAACUUUGAGUUAUUCUAGUUUUCUCUAAUAGACGUCGUUAUAUUAACUAGAAAAUUCUAGAAAUAUGUAUCAAUUUCAACACUCCUCCUUGAUGCAUAUUUCAGAAACUCCAAAUGUAAUGCGUAGUUGCUCAAACAUAGAUUUGUGAUAUCAUCUUUUCCUACAUUGAUACUCUUCAUAGUUGAUUAAUUUGACAAGUCUUACCUCCACCAUGAUAGUACAUUUGUGUUACCUCUUGCUAUAAAUAGGUUUGUGACAUCAAUUGGACUUGAACUUAAUAGGAUCGAGCUGUUAGGCUACCUGAACUCUUCUAUUUCCUUCUUAGUUUUGGGUUUGAACUCAAAUAGAGUAUGGCCUAGUGGCUACCUAUACUCCUUUUGUUUUUGAGUCAUAGACUCGGAUUUUCUAGUUUAGUAGGAUAUCAUUCACAUUGUAGAAUAUAUAUAUAUAUAUAUAUAUAUAUAUAUAUAUAUAUAGUUGGUGACACGAGAUCAUAUUUUGUUUGACAAAAAAUUAUAUUUAAUUUUCCAAAUAAGAGAAAAUAAUUCAAUAAAAGUCACACAAGAUAAAGAAAAUGAUCAAAUUGAUCUUCUUUAUUUUAAGCAAGAGCAUUACAUGGGAUACAAAAUGCAGUUGAAUCCUUUAUUCUAGUACAAAAUCACAUGCACCCACACAACUAACAAGCUAGACUCUCAAUACCUUUGACAGGAAAACAAACAAACAAGAAACACUUAAUUUUGCAGCAAUAUUCACUUGAAAAUUAUUCCAUAGCAACCAUACGGGAAGGGGGUGGAGUAGAAGCAGUAAAUGGCUGUCCCCUUUUUUCCAUCGAUUUCAUUUUCAAACGCAGCUCCUUCUCCUUGUAUAGAAUAUCAGCCAACCUUCAUAUAUCAUAAUCAUAACGUAAUUAGCAUUUCAUAUUUACUUAGGAGAUGGCCAACCCUAGAAUAAUUCUAUGUUAAACAUGAACUAGAUUUUUGACCCGUGUUCCGCUCGGGUUUAUCGUAAAGGGUAUUCUGUUUGUAAACGUAUUAAAUAAGUGUAGAAUAUAUUGUCAAAAAAAAAAAAAACAGUAACAGGAUAGGAAUGAAAUAAAGGCAAGAGGAUAGGAAUGAAAUUGGUGCAAUGAAUUAUUUUAGAUACAAUUUGUUAGGUUAAAUAAUUGCAAACCUAAUAAAGCAAAAAUUAAUAAAUAAAGAUAACUAUAUCAUAAAAAUGUUAAAAAAUGAACAAACCUUGUAAGAGCCUCAUCGUUUGUACCCUCACUUGGUUUUACAUAUGGGACAAACGAAGUAACAUUUUGUAUCUUAACAGGUUGUUUCAACAAGUCUUCUCCUGCCUUUACAAGUUUUUGCAUGCCUUCUUCGGUAACAUUGACAAUAGAUGGAUUCAAGUUAUACUCCUGCACAGCACAUAUACCCGGACGUUACAUGUUUCAUUCAAUGAAAAAUUAAAAAAUUACAAUACUAAUCUUUUUUUUAAAGUAAAUUUUUUUAAAUAAAUAAAAACCCUAUAUGCAACCAUUUAUUAUGUACCUCAACUCGAAGGUAGUAAUUUUCCGAAGAAGGUGAGUCUGGGAAGACUGAUGCAAGGUGAUAUUCAUGUAUGUCUGCAGCAGCACUAGCAUAACCCAAAGCAAGAAUGGACGUCCAAUUAUUAUACGAGAAGGUUUUUGCAAGUAAAGAACCAGGCCCUAGAAUCGUGUUUCUUCCACAUCCUAAUGACAACAACACGAUUUUGGUAGGUUCGUUUGGAUUCACAGGAAUGAAAUUAGGAUUCUUCUCAUUCAAUUGUUGCAUCACUUCACUUACUGCAACCAAUGCCUGAAUUACAUGCAUACAAUUUUUAUAGAACAUUAAUGUGCAACCAUAUCAUAUGUAACAUAUGACUAAUGAUAUAUAUAUUAAAUACACUUACCGGGCUGCCUGCAGCUAUACCUCCAUCAACUAAAUUGAAUGGCCUUCUACGAUUCCAAAAGAAAUAGGGUGGUAGAAGAGUUGGUGCAGCUGAAGUCCCAAUGGCUAUAUCCGACAAUUUUGCAUCUAGGCUAGGAAUUUCCUCCAACUGCAUGAGCAACGAACGUUUCACAAACUAAG